ACUAAUCAAAUCCUUCAACAAAUUGGUACCAAAUAUUACUUUUACAUCACUUGUAAAGUAUUUUAAAAAAACAUGCAAUGCACAUUCAACUUUGACUGCUUUUAUAAAUGUGCAAAGUUGAAUAAUUUGAAUCUUUACAUGUUACGAUAUCACGUCGAACUAUUUUAUCUAAAAACAUAAACUGAUAUAGAGAGUGCACAUUUUUAUUUAUUGCAUCUCCUUUUCAAUUUUCUAUUACAACUCUUGACACUUUUUACAAUUAUUUUGUCUUAAAACACCUCCUAUAGGUAAUGUUUAGCAUAUGCUUGGGUUAGUUAAAAAUCAGAUCUUUAGUAGAUUUUGAUAAAAAUUAAUAAAAUGUAUAGAUGAAAAGUUGUGGGUCUAAUAAAAUAUAUGACUGAAAAUGAGUUUGAACAAAAAUGAGGACUAAACAUGGGAAUAUUUAUUUUUAUGAGAACAUAUGACAGUUUACAAUUUCUAGAAAGAGGUGACAAUGAAAUGAUAUUCAAUCUAAAAGCUUAAAUAUUGAGGAGUACAAAUUUACUUAUUGAAGUUUUGUCAAUGACAGGUAGGGACACCACAAGUACUACUCUAACAUGGUUUUUCUGGCUAAUUGCCUCAAAUCCCCUUGUGGAACUCAAGAUACUUGAAGAGAUUCAAACAAACUUUCAUGACACAGAAGACAAAACAUGCAGGUUUUUUAAUGCAGAAAAAUCUAGAAAAUUAGUCUACCUCCACGGAGCAUUCUGCGAGACUCUUAGGCUGUUCCCUCCNNNNNN
rnacentral:lncRNA from 1 species